UACAGAGGUGGCAAGCGUUGUUCGGAAUUACUGGGCGUAAAGGGCGCGUAGGCGGCCUUCUAAGUCAGACGUGAAAUCCCCCGGCUUAACCUGGGAACUGCGUCUGAUACUGGGAGGCUUGAGUAUGGGAGAGGGAUGUAGAAUUCCAGGUGUAGCGGUGAAAUGCGUAGAUAUCUGGAGGAAUACCGGUGGCGAAGGCGGCAUCCUGGACUAUAACUGACGCUGAGACGCGAAAGCGUGGGGAGCAAACAGG
rnacentral:rRNA from 1 species